CACGUAGGGCGCAAGCGUUGUCCGGAAUUACUGGGCGUAAAGGGCUCGUAGGCGGCCAACUAAGUCGGACGUGAAAUCCCUCGGCUUAACCGGGGAACUGCGUCCGAUACUGGAUGGCUUGAGUUUGGGAGAGGGAUGCGGAAUUCCAGGUGUAGCGGUGAAAUGCGUAGAUAUCUGGAGGAACACCGGUGGCGAAGGCGGCAUCCUGGACCAACACUGACGCUGAGGAGCGAAAGCCAGGGGAGCAAACGGG
rnacentral:rRNA from 1 species